rnacentral:lncRNA from 1 species
GCACAAGCCUCGAACAAGCAAGGCAAAUGAUUCAUUCAUAUUCAAAGAUCUUUAUAUGUACAGAAAUUUCUCUCUAAAGGGAUAGAGUUGUUAUUUACAGCCAAUGGAGAUGAUAAGAGACAAUAUACACAUUAUUACACACACACACUGGUUCUAUGAUUACAUUGGUUCUGCCAGAGCUCUGCUUGUGUGAUAAGAGACAUCAGAUAUAUAUUAUUAAACAUCAUACUAGUUCUCUGAUUACAUCAUUCUGCCAGAGCUCUGCUUGUAGCAAGCCAGCAACAGACUAGCAUAAAAGAAAUCCUUUUCGCUAGUAAUAUUAUAACAUGUAUUUACACCGAAGCAGCAGCUCUCUAAGCAUUUGCUGAGAGAGACAUGGCAUUGAGUUCCACGUGCUUCUUACCGUUAUGUUGAGGGUGAACAACAAUGGUGCCACAAGCCUCCUCC